AGUAUCUUAUACAAUAAAGUUGGGUUAUGCUCUCUCAUCCUUCCUCCACGUCAGCAAAGAAGGAAGGGCAUUUUGCGCCACGUGUCUAACUCAAAAUUCUGUCUACGGAUGUAUCUUUGUGAUGGGCUCUGCGAUGGGUUUUCUGUGUUGCUGUUUGUUUUAAUUAUUUUCAAACUUUAUUUGGGUUUUAACAAAACAUUUUGUCUAGCCCAGAAGUUUAGAUUUCUUCAUCUUCUCUUCUGCGAACUUCGUCGAUUAGCAGUGAGUAUUCCAGAAAACUAAAGCGCCGAUCAACUCACCAUAACAUCUCCACCUUGCAUUAAUACCUCCUUUAAUCCGACCUUUAACGUAACUAAACCCACGAAGCAUUCAUUCGAUCUCAUCACCUCCCAAAGUAUCAGACUGAAGCUAUCAUUAUAAAUAUCCCAACUUCGAGCGAUAAACAACACAACUUUCAACGAGAUCGAGAAGAAUAGUAUGUGCUAAAUACCAAUUACACAAUGGCGAAUUCCUUCAUCCUACUUGCCGAUUUGAAAUCUGUUUGUUGAGGUUCUGGGAAGCUAGGAAUGUGAAGAAAGGCGAUGAACUGAUGAUUAUUGACAUGCUACUCCGUGAUGAGAAGGAGUAAGGAGUGAGUCCCUUUGCAUCAGAUAUAUGUGCCAUAAUUGAUGAGGCCUUUGAAGAGACCAUCCCGAAAACUUAUGUCUUGGAGCUUCUUAGUUUACUGCUUGGCGAUGAUUACACGGGGAAGAGACGAGACGGUUUAAGCAUAAAUCUUAUGCACUGUAUUGAUUGUUUUAUUUAUCUUUCGUUGACGUGGUUGUAGACAUGUUCCAUCAAGAAAAAAAUGGUUCCAUGUAGCUAAGAAGAUAGAUAAGGAAUGACGAGCAGUCAUUACUGACGUUGCAACGGUAUAUGGCUCUAGCAUGUAAUUGGAGCCGGGACUCAACAGUUUGUCCACAUGACUAACUGGGAGUUAAGGUUCAUGGAUUCAUAGAAAAGGUUCCGGCACGUGCUUGAUGUGUGUGGUUUGAAUGAAUCGUUGAAGUAUAUGGCUUUGAAGAAAGCAAUAACGUGAUGAUAGGAGAGAUGGAGUUGGUGUGGCAUGACUCAAACAGUGGCUGGAACAAGACUACGACAGGCUCAGUUAGAUGGCUUCAAUGGAAAUGAACUAUCUUAUAAGUUUUCUUGCGGAGUGUUUCUUAUACGGUUAUACCGACCCGAAAAGUGAAUCAGAUGCUUUUUCCAGUCAAAUAUUAAUCAUCAAGUUGCAGGUCACUGAAUCGCUUUGUAUAUAUGUUUUAGUGUAUUUUAGUAUUAUCUAAAAUAAAAAGGAUUUAUUGAGAGUUUUUUUUUAAGUACUUGAAAGUGUUUCCUAUAUAUUCAUUACAGAGAAUUAGGGCUGAACAAAAUAACCCAACCCAAAAAGUAGUAUAUGUUCAGAGUUCUCUGAAGUAUGUGUGGUUCAGAAUUAUAAAUUUAAAUAUUUUAAUUAUUUUCUAAAAUAAUAUUGCACAACUAUCUAAAAGAUUUUAUUAUCCGAAAAAAUAAAAAAAUAUCUAAAAACUACACAAAAUAGCCAAAAUAAAGAUUCAACAACAGUUCAAACACACAAAUAUUCAAAUAUUCAAAAUUAACCAAUUUUCAUAUUAAUUUAAUUUAUUUGAGCAUAUUUCAGAGUUAUAUGUUAUAUAUUAUUUUUAAAAUUGCCAAAAAUAAAUACUAAUAUACAGAGAAUUUAUAGUCCAAAGAAAAACCAGGUCAAACAUAUAUAACCAAAUGCAGCUAAAAAUGGAACCAAAACAUAAAUAAAAACAUGUGAAUUUAUAUGAACAAUUUUACCAAAAAAAUAUUUUAUAACAAUCAAAUCAAUAUUAUUUUUGACGUUUCAUCAGAACCGACCAAUGAAUAUAAACUUUUGGUCCGUUGAGUUUAACUUUUCUUCGGUUCUAAACUUCGUUAGACUACUUACUAUGUGUUAUGAAACAAAACUUUCUCUCUAUUCUUUUGGUAUGUGAUGUUAUAAAACUCUUUUUUCUUAAUGUGCUUUGAUAAAUGGUAAUGUUAAAAGCAACUACUUGAUUAUAAAGUUACCUCAUUGUAUAUGGCUUUGAAGAAAGCAAUAACGUGAUGAUAGGAGAGAUGGAGUUGGUGUGGCAUGACUCAAACAGUGGCUGGAACAAGACUACGACAGGCUCAGUUAGAUGGCUUCAAUGGAAAUGAACUAUCUUAUAAGUUUUCUUGCGGAGUGUUUCUUAUACGGUUAUACCGACCCGAAAAGUGAAUCAGAUGCUUUUUCCAGUCAAAUAUUAAUCAUCAAGUUGCAGGUCACUGAAUCGCUUUGUAUAUAUGUUUUUCCUACAGAUAUGUAUGUAUGCUUAAAUAGAACAGUUUCAGGUAGAAAUGAACUAAUUAAAUUUUAUUUUCUUUUUACUAAUUUGAGAUGUAUAUGUUCUGCGGUUGAUGAGACUUUAGAGAACAAAGCAAGUUGUAUUAAUACC